rnacentral:rRNA from 1 species
UACGUAGGUGGCAAGCGUUGUCCGGAAUUAUUGGGCGUAAAGCGCGCGCAGGCGGUCCUUUAAGUCUGAUGUGAAAGCCCACGGCUCAACCGUGGAGGGUCAUUGGAAACUGGGGGACUUGAGUACAGAAGAGAAGAGUGGAAUUCCACGUGUAGCGGUGAAAUGCGUAGAGAUGUGGAGGAACACCAGUGGCGAAGGCGACUCUUUGGUCUGUAACUGACGCUGAGGCGCGAAAGCAUGGGGAGCGAACAGG